CAGGGCUGCGACGCCGCCGGGUCCGCCGCGGCGCCGAGGGCCGUGGCCGCUCUCUGAGCGGAGCCGGGCCUGGGCAGCGGCGGGGCCGUAGGACCUCGCGCAGCGAUCGCGGGCCGCAGGGCGGAGGCUGCGGAGGCGAAGCCCCCUCCCCGGGGAGGCGGGGCCUGGGCGAGCUCCCCGGAGGCGGCCGCCGGGAAGGAUGCAUCAGAAGCUGCUGAAGAGCGCACAUUACAUUGAGCUGGGUAGCUACCAGUACUGGCCCGUCCUGGUGCCCCGCGGCAUCCGCCUGUACACCUACGAGCAGAUCCCCGUGUCCCUCAAGGACAACCCGUACAUCACUGACGGCUACCGGGCCUACCUGCCCUCCAGGCUGUGUAUCAAAAGUUUGUUUAUUUUAUCUAAUGAGACGGUAAACAUCUGGAGUCAUUUGCUUGGUUUCUUUCUCUUCUUCACACUGGGAAUAUAUGACAUGACAUCUGUGUUACCUUCAGCAAGUGCAUCCAGAGAAGAUUUUGUAAUUUGUUCUAUUUGUCUUUUCUGCUUCCAGGUCUGUAUGCUUUGCUCUGUGGGCUAUCAUCUCUUUUCUUGCCAUCGGUCAGAAAAAACCUGUCGAAGAUGGAUGGCAUUAGAUUAUGCAGGAAUUUCUAUUGGAAUACUGGGAUGCUAUGUCUCUGGAGUAUUUUAUGCAUUUUAUUGUAAUAAUUAUUGGCGUCAGGUGUACUUGAUCACAGUGCUUGCUAUGAUCCUGGCGGUGUUCUUUGCCCAGAUUCAUCCCAAUUACCUAACACAGCAGUGGCAGAGGCUCCGUUCUAUCAUCUUUUGUUCUGUUUCGGGAUAUGGAGUAAUCCCUACUCUUCACUGGGUUUGGCUCAAUGGAGGAAUUGGUGCUCCUAUUGUACAGGACUUUGCACCCCGUGUAAUUGUGAUGUAUGUGAUUGCUCUUCUUGCUUUCCUGUUCUACAUUUCCAAAGUUCCAGAACGGUACUUUCCAGGACAACUAAACUACCUUGGAUCAAGCCACCAGAUAUGGCAUAUCCUUGCAGUGGUGAUGUUAUAUUGGUGGCAUCAGUCAACAGUGUAUGUCAUGCAAUACAGACAUAACAAGCCUUGUCCUGACUAUGUUUCACAUUUAUGAAUUCAGCUUCAAAAUCGUAUUUAGAACCAGGAAUGAAGACUCAGGGAAUAUCUGUCACAUCUUAUGGCAUCCUACCUGGACACAGUAUCCGAUUCGAAGAUUGUGAUUGACUGACUGGCAUACGCUGUAGAACUCUCCAUUUGGCAGGAGUUAAUGCCAAGAGUCUGUCAGAAGUAUCUACUGUUUAGAAGGAAAUGGAGCAGCACCAAAUGGGUCUAAUUCAACUGACUGGGACUGUUGGGGCUGAUGUGAAGUGACACUUUGCACCACAAGUUCUGUAAAGGGCACGGCACCAAAAUCGUCCAUCUUCAACACCUCUGCGCUAUGGAAUGCUCCAUGCCGUGAAUUUGGUUUUGGCCGCCCAGGCAGCACGGUAUUAUGAUCGGCACGGAUGUCACUCAGGCCCUGAUGUGAAGAGUGCCAUGGCACGUCUGGUGGCUGGAAGGGCUUGGCACCGAAGGGGUCCAACAGACUCUCCUCAGGCUGCAGGACAUUCCCUCUGUCUUUCCCAUCAGUCAGUGCAACACUAAUGUUCUCCUUGGAGUCUGAGAUGGUUAAAAAUUCAUUGCUGCUUUGAGAGUCUCGGCGGCCCACCUUUUUGUGCCUGCGCGCCCUCUCUGGAGUGCGGUAGGCAGGCUUCACAGUCUUCUUCGUGCUGGCUGGCGUGCCAUGAUGCCGCUUCCCGUUACUUUUGGACACAUCCUGCUUUGUGCGCCUUUGGCGAGAGGACAGUUUCUGUAAACUACGCUGUUUGACUUUUUGCUGCUGACUCCCAGCUAUUUCCUCAAAGGGCACAAGCCCAAAAAGGUCCUCACUGCUCUCACUUUUAAUUGUUGAGGUGGGAAAGGGCUGAAAUGGAGUGGAGCCAAAUAUAUCUACACGUUUGGGACAAGCAGGGAGAGUAUGUGCCUCGGGCCCCACUGCAUGGCAGUCUUGUACAUUCACCUUCUUGCUAAAGGGUGCCUUGGUGAAUACAUCAAAUUCCUCUUGCUCUAGUCCCACAGUAGGCAACUUGGUCCAUUGAGAGAAGUUCUUUUCAUUCUCUCCUUGUUGGGGCUGUUGAGCACGCACUGCAAAGAAGGGGACAGCGCCAAACACAUCGAACUCCUGUGUAGGGGUCUCCACUCCAGCAUCAGAGGGUGAUCGGGUUUGGGUGAGGAGUGUUCUGUUAGGAUCCUGGAUUGGCCCACUGCCAGAUCUGCCUCUGCAGACAGGGCUCCCGUCUCUGUACUUUCCUUUGGCCUGCUCAUAAUCAGAAUCAGAGCUGUGUUUUCCUUCUUCCUCAUCUUCAGAAUCCAUGAGGAGAGGCCUGUGACCCAGAUUUUCUGGUUCAGUAUCAUCAUCAUUAAAAUCUCCUUGCUCUCCGUGAAGAACUUCUUCAUCAUCUUGCUCUUCCUCUUCACUGCUCUUAGGAGAUGGGGGAUCUGAUUCAAAAUCACUUUCAGAUUCAUCAUUCCCCUUUUGCAACUGACCUUCUACUGAUGAAUUCUCUGAGGUUUUCUUUCCAGUCCGGAGGUCUUUAGAUACUGGACUUGCUUUUCUAUUCUUGAUAGAGUUUGCAGUGGUAUUUUCUUGAUUCAUGGAUGAAUGUUCAAUUUUCUUUUCAGGAGAACCUGCAUGUUCAAAGAAAAAUUAUUAUAGCAUGCCAAUGCAUUUCAAAAUCCAUUUGCACUAAAUAACAUGUACUAUCACAAAGCAUUACAAAUCCCUCAUGCCAGUUCCCUUAGAGAAAGAAGUAAUGUCACUUCCCUGUCAUUAGGUUUAGGAAUGCCCUUGUCCUCAACUAGAUGGUUAGGCCCUUCAGUGCAGGUAGACUUGACUCUGUAGCCCUACACACUCCUUACUCAUUGUAAGUCCUCACCAACAGCCAAGUUUCAUGUAUAGCACCCAGAAGAGGACUCUGAAUAUAGUACACAAGAAAAUUUUCUUCUGCCACUCUCAAAAUAAUAUUUGUUUGGCAUAAAACUCCUGCUAAGAUCCCGUAUUUACCAAAAAACCUGCUUAUAUUUCAAUUCUAUUAUAAAGUUUCCCCACAGAGAUCAACAAGUACGAAGAGCUUAUCUGCUUAGUUAGUAUGUUUCAUGGUAAUUUUGAACUGGCAUUCUGGUGCAUUCCCCAGGACUUGAUCAAAGCUUAGGGCCAAGUACUAAACUGAGACUGUCCCAAGGACAUCUGCGUUCUCUAGACAACAGUCUUCAACUAUCAUAUCUGUACUACUAGACAUUACAUUAAAAGCAUGCUACCUUUAAAAAAUAUCAAUACAUUCACUGUAGGUAAUAAAAUUAUAUAAAAUAUAGUGCUUUAAAAUUUCUCUAUAUGACAAAUAAUAAAAAUAAUAUUUUAGUUUACAUGAAAA